ACGACCUUGCUUGAACAGGAUCUGUUCUAUGUACAUCUGUUUCCCUUGAGUUCUACGGAGACAGGAAUCAAAGUCUGGUUGAUGAAUCAUGACCAUGCGAUCAGAGCGUGAAUAACAGAUUCCCGAUCCUUGGACCGUUGGAUCAGUGGAGGAUCGUUCUCAGCCACUCUUCGGAAUGGCUGUGAUGGUUGCAUUGUUGUCUGACAGACU